UACGUAGGGGGCAAGCGUUGUCCGGAAUCAUUGGGCGUAAAGAGCGCGUAGGCGGCCCAGUAAGUCCGCUCUGAAAGUCAGGGGCUCAACCCCUGAAUGCGGGUGGAUACUGCUGGGCUAGAGUCCGGAAGAGGCGAGUGGAAUUCCUGGUGUAGCGGUGAAAUGCGUAGAUAUCAGGAGGAACACCGGUGGCGAAGGCGCACAUCUGGCCCGAUACUGACGCUGAGGCGCGAAAGCUAGGGGAGCAAACGGG
rnacentral:rRNA from 1 species